UGUUCUGGAGAGAGCAUGAUCCUUUUAGAAGGUUUUCCAAAUCCUGGUCUCCCGUGGAACACAGGCUGCAAAGGACACACGGAUGUUGUUUCUCUUUCCCUCUUCCUUCUGCACCACCACCACCAACCCUUGAAAGACUCCACACUUAGACACGAGCAAAAGGAUCUGUUUUAGACAAUAGUGAACAAACCACGAUGAAGCUCUUUCCUGCCAAACUAAGUAAUGAAAAGGCACGAUUUGAAGGGAUUCUUGAAGGAAGAGAAGAGGAACUUUCCCAGAGCUCGGGAAGUGUGCUUCUUACAAGUGGAGUGGUUUCCUUCUCUGAGCUUUAGAGGAAGGAGGAAAAUGCUGGAAGGUGCAGAAGCCACCUCUCAGGCUGCCUGGGGAGUGCUUAAGCUGGGGAAACUAGUGUGCUGGCCAGAAGAGGGCUUAUGACCAGAAUCCUCUGGCCUCUGGCCUUCCUGGUUAUUAGGCUCAGAUAAAAAUGAGAAGAUCUCACAGUGGCUUCAAGGAUGGUUCUGUUAGCCUUGUCUGAGGCAACACAUGUAUCAUUUGGGUAGAACUUCUCUUAAAAAGAAAAAAAUUGAAACUCCUGUCUGGGACUCCCUCAUCGUGAUUGGUGAGGAAGGAAAGUACAGACUCAAGCCCAACAGGCCCCCCAUAGAUUCCCAGUGAUGCAGUAAACAAACCUAUGAUGCUUGUUGAAUAAUCUUCCAAUAAUUGCAGUCAUUAAAAUCAUCACAGUCCCCAGUCACCUUCCUUUCUUUGACAUACCAUUCUCUCCUUUAAUUGGCAAUGCAUUUUUGGCUCAGAUAAACAGAUCAAGGCAAGCUUAGGCUAUGAGGUCCAGUCACAUCUAGCACCAGACAGCUGCUAGUGCAGUAAAGGCAUGGACUGGUCUCCACAGGCCAGGGACUUUCUGGUUUCUCCUGGAAACCUUUCAGAAACCGGAAUGCUUUGCACCUCCCAGCACCUCGAAACGGGAGUGACACCUUUGAGACAGAGAAAGAAAGAAAAAAAAAGAUGAAAAUUUCAUUGGCCUUUUUUAUUUGUAAGGGUUGGGCUAAAAUAAGGAAGGGUGUUAUAAAAUGACUAUUAAAUAAAAGCUUCACAGAAAUUGUGGGAGAGUUCCUCAAUUUUUAAUUAAUUUUCUUGAUCCGGUUGAACUCAAGACUGGUGUUUUUAAAGACAUAAGUAUAUGUUAACUAUAAAAGAUUCCCGUCUAAUCAAAGGCUGUAUUUCAUUUUCACUCACACUGACAAACUCCGACUGUGGGAAGAUUCACUCGACUCAACAGGCACUAAGGGCUGCACCGCUGCACGGGGCAGGGCUUCCUUCCCCCCCUUGCUCAAGGCAGGCAACUACCGUACAAACGCAGCUUUUUUUUUUUAAACUGAAGUUAUUAUGUUUCUCCCCAACUCCCACACGGUGCUGACCUGAUAAUCACUGCUCUGGUGUAGAUCAUGCAAAUGAAAAGCAUAAUUAAUUGCACAAAUGAUUCAAAACGGGUGCCUCUGUGGCUUAGCAAAUAAAUAAAUAAAGGCGGGUGGGAGGACAGGUCAGACAAAUGCUUUUAAGGGCUUCCUCCUCUUACCCCCGCCCACACCCCGCCCCCCAGCCUGGUUACUGUGGCCCAGGCUUCCAGUGAAACUGGCCCCACCAAUUUGAGAACCCUUGGGUUCCUCCCCCUCCCAACGCCUCCCUUCCUGCCCGCAUCCUGAGUCUCCAACCACACCUUACCCCACCUCAGUGAAGCACCUUAGCUGCUAACCUGCGAGGAGACUGGGCCGCUACCUAAUGUUUACUCAGCUACGGUAUGCAGGAGUUCAGAAAAUAACUGGUCUUCGGAAUCGCCACCCUGAUUCCUGCGUGCAUCGUCUCAGCGAGAAAGCAUUUCAUCUACAGCAUAGGCGCUUCCAUCCGGGAUGAGUGCUCAAGAUGAAAUUGUUUCCCUAGCUUUGCCCCUUAAACACCACAAACUUGAGCAGUUGCUCAGAUCAAAGCCCUUCGCUGAGCCAAAAACGGGAGAAACAACAUUUGUUCAAGGGAAAUAAACUCUUCCCUUUAAUCACUCCAUUCUUUAUUGGGUUUCGUAUUGAAUUUUUUUUUUGCAAAAAAUCAUGUUGAUUUAACCAUAGUGUAUUUACGAUGUAAAUAUAUGCCAAGAUGAAAACGUCACGGAUCAAUUGUAAAGGACCCGGAUACAUAAUUUUAAAAAAUCAGUUUCAGUGUAUAUGAGGUUCUCACCCCACUUUCUCUGCUCAGUCAGAUUUGUUUAUGCAGAAUCGACAUUUAAUAGUGCUAAUUGCACUCCAGUUAAAUUGCCCUGAUUGCAGAAAGGGAAGCAAUUUUCGUGCUCUCUGUCUGGGUUUGGAAGAAAUUGUUUUAUAUUCACCUCUUUAUAAAGAAGUGGAGAUAAGGCACCGGGGCCUUUGCACAAAUUGCACUUAGGGGCUGACUGGCAGCAUUCAGGCGCUAUAAUAGAGCAUUAUUUGGCCGUUUUGAAUAAUGUAAAGCGUUUGCUGAAAGCUAUUCUCCUGAAAAUUGCUUUAACUUUUAAAAGGGUGAUGAUUCACUCCAAACCAGGCCUUUGUUACAUUGUCAUUAUUUCCCCAAAUGUUUUAACAGUCAGCUCAACACUUUAGCAUAACACAUUGAUCUUUGUUUAAAAACUAGAUUUUUUAGAAGAUGAAAAAAAAAUCUGUCAGACGUGAGGAGGGGAAAAAAAAAAAAAGCAAAACCGGACUUUGCCCGAAAGAGUUCCUUUCAGCCCCACCUGGGAGUCGAACCGGCCCGGAUUGUCUGUCCCUAACUUUUAUUGUGAUGAGGACGCGUGUAUCUAGGAAUAUGAGAGUACCCACGUUCAGAGUCUGACAGCUGGAACUGCGUGGAACACAGCGGGAGGGGGAGGGAGCUGCUGGAGGAGGAGGAGGAGGAGAGGACCCGGGCCCGAGGUGCCUGUGAGAACUGUUUAAAUGGCAUGAAAAUGUCACUGGUGCCAAGUGGCCUUGCGGAUCGUCUUAUUUAUUACUUGGUCAGGUUUCCUUAAGAGGGCGGGCUGGGGAGGAGAAGUCGUGGGGAACCCUGGGCACCUCUCCUCCAGUGGCUGCACCGGGUGAAUCGGAAACGCCUCGCUGCCACUUAACAAUCCCUCUAUUAGUAAAUCGGCGCGGGACGCUACGGGAAGUCAAGGGCCAGCCUCCCCUUCCAGGGCAGAAGUCACCUGUUGGGAAAAGCUCCAGGGUCCCCCUGCUGGGCUUUCCGUCUGGGUCCUGCGGCCCGGUGCCCACCCCCAACCUUCCACCCUGACGCCCCGGAGCCUUUCGUUACCCUCCCCCCCUCACAUUUCUCCCUCGGUCCCCUAGGGCACGUUGCUCCCUUCAAGCCAGCUCUCUCUUUUCUCUUUUUCCGCAAUCAUCUUCCUCCGUGCUUUUUACCACCUUAAAGGUGCUGUUUUCUUUUUAAGGCAUUCUGA